rnacentral:rRNA from 1 species
GGGGGGGGGGGGGGGGGGGGGGGGGACAGGGGGGGUGGACGGGGAGGCCCGGGUUGGGGGGGGUGCUCGAGUGGCGGACGGGUGAGUCACACGUGAGUAACCUGCGCUGGGGGUUGGGAUACCUUCAGGAGACUGGGGCGAAUACCGGAUAGGAGCUCCUGCUGCAUGGUGGGGGGUGGAAAGUUUCGGCGGUUGGGGAUGGACUCGCGGCUUAUCAGCUUGUUGGUGGGGUAGUGGCUUACCAAGGCUUUGACGGGUGGCCGGCCUGAGAGGGUGACCGGCCACAUUGGGACUGAGAUACGGCCCAGACUCCUACGGGAGGCAGCAGUGGGGAAUAUUGAACAAUGGGCGGAAGCCUGAUGCAGCAACGCCGCGUGCGGGAUGACGGCCUUCGGGUUGUAAACCGCUUUCGCCUGUGACGAAGCGUGAGUGACGGUAAUGGGUAAAGAAGCACCGGCUAACUACGUG